ACUUUAACUCUAACUUUACCUUCCUGACCGAGAACAGUCUUUGCUAUUUCAAGGGCACAUGGCUUGAUCAACUCCUCGGCAAUUGUAUGGGGCUUCUUUGA